GGAGAUUGCCUAAUGAAGUUAAAAGGAGAAUAGUCAUCAUAAGCCAAAUGAUGAUUCUCUUUAAAUCCUACACAACCAGUGGAAACAGAGACUUCAGUUUCUUAUAAACAACUAUUAUUGAGCCUUCAAAAUUUCAAGUUGAUUUUGGUGAGGCUCAAUUUAAAUGACCAGGGAUCAAAGAUAUUAGCUCUGUCCACCAAGGAGAAAAUAAACUCUGCUUACUUCAAGUAGCUGCCCUGCUGACUUCCAGUUUUCAUGUGAGCAUAAAUUAUCAUUCCUCUGGGAUAAAUGCCCAAAUGUGUAAUUGCUGAGUCCUAUGGUAGUUGCAUGUUUAAUUUUAUAAGAAACUACCAAAACUAUUUUUCAGAGUGGC
rnacentral:lncRNA from 1 species